rnacentral:rRNA from 1 species
AGUGAACGCUGGCGGUAGGCCUAACACAUGCAAGUCGAACGGCAGCACAGUAAGAGCUUGCUCUUACGGGUGGCGAGUGGCGGACGGGUGAGGAAUAAAUCGGAAUCUACUUUUUCGUGGGGGAUAACGUAGGGAAACUUACGCUAAUACCGCAUACGACCUACGGGUGAAAGCAGGGGAUCUUCGGACCUUGCGCGAUUGAAUGAGCCGAUGUCGGAUUAGCUAGUUGGCGGGGUAAAGGCCCACCAAGGCGACGAUCCGUAGCUGGUCUGAGAGGAUGAUCAGCCACACUGGAACUGAGACACGGUCCAGACUCCUACGGGAGGCAGCAGUGGGGAAUAUUGGACAGUGGGCGCAAGCCUGAUCCAGCCAUACCGCGUGGGUGAAGAAGGCCUUCGGGUUGUAAAGCCCUUUUGUUGGGAAAGAAAAGCAGCAGGUUAAUACCCCGCUGUUCUGACGGUACCCAAAGAAUAAGCACCGGCUAACUUCGUG